rnacentral:tRNA from 1 species
GGAGGCAUAGCUUAAUUGGUAGAGCACCAGCAGAGCAAUUAAACAAGUGUAAGGCCUUGGGUUCAAAUCCCAGUACCACCA